rnacentral:misc_RNA from 1 species
UGUCAUUUUGAUUGUUAUGAAAUAUUAUUUUUAAUCUCACCUGAAAUUUAUCAAAACAAUAGUAAAAAUUUAUAGUUUCUGCGGUCAGAACAGCUAAAGCAUAGUGAUGUCGUAUGCAAACCAUAUGUUAUGGUUCGGCGACGCUGGUCUGUGAGAAAAUUUUUAAAAAUGCCUUUAGCUGAGGCUGGUGAUCAAUACUCUAUUUGGGUGGGUUUAAUAUAUAUAUUUAAUUUGAUAGUUGGAACAGGGGCUCUCACUCUCCCUGCAGCUUUCGCCAGGGCAGGAUGGGGUCUCAGCACAAUAUCCCUUGUGUUCCUUGCUUUUAUGAGCUUCAUGAAUGCUACAUAUGUGAUAGAAACUAUGGCAUGUGCCAAUGCUGUGUUUAAGUGGAAGCGAUUGCAAUUUAUUAAGAGAAGCAGUGUACAAGAUGAAGAGCAUUCAGAGGAAGAUCAGGCUAGUGUUCAUGAAGAGUUGGAAGAUCCCCUGGUCUGCGGAGAUUCAAUACCUUCCCGAUACUAUAGUUUGGACAAAAGAAUUGAACUUGGCGAGAUGGCUAACCUGUUCUUAAGUAAGAGUGGACGGACAAUGUUCUAUUGUACACUGUGUGUGUAUUUAUACGGAGAUUUAUCAAUAUAUUCAGCAGCUGUGGCAAAGUCUUUGAUGGAUGUUGUGUGUUCAACAAUACCAUCAAACAUGACGAACACAACAGACUGGGAUGCGAUGCCUUGCUUUAACGUGACGUCAUCAGAGGCCGGCGUGUACACUAGGUUGGAUUGCUACCGAGUCGCUCUGUUGACUUUCUUCGCCGCUAUGGGCCCUUUUGUAUUCUUCAAUGUACAGAAAACAAAAUAUUUGCAACUCUUCACUUCGGGUAUGCGGUGGCUGGCAUUCGCAAUAAUGAUAACGAUGGCGAUCCAUCUCCUCAUCAAACACGGACCGCAAGGGAGGCCGCCAGCGUUUGAUUUCACAGGAAUGCCCACUCUGUUCGGGGCGUGCGUGUACUCCUUUAUGUGCCACCAUUCACUGCCCGGACUCAUCUCGCCAAUUCGUGGCAAAGGCUACUUAGGCCUCCAUCUCGCUCUAGACUACCUUCUCAUCAGCAUCUUCUAUCUCCUUCUAGCGUUCACGGGUGCGUUCGCGUUCGCGCAGCUGAGCGACCUGUACACGCUCAACUUCGUGCCCACAGAUAACGAAAAUGUUUUCCUCGAAAUCGUCGAAUAUUUCCUCGCUCUGUUCCCAGUGUUUACGCUGUCCACUAGUUUUCCGAUCAUCGCCAUCACGCUGAGGAAUAAUUUACAAAGUAUGUUCUUAGACACGAGUCGUUUGGAGACGUACAAUUUCGUUCUCAGGAAGAUGUUGUUCCCCGUUGUUGCCGUUGUUCCGCCAUUGCUGUUGACGUAUUUCUUAGAGGAUAUCAGCGUGCUCAUCAAGUUUACAGGGUCUUACGCGGGUACCGGCAUCCAGUACUUAAUACCUACGUUCCUAGUGCUCUCUGCACGACGCCAUUGCACUAACUUAUUAGGGCUGGGCGUUGUCAACAAAUAUAAGAGCCCUUUUUCAAACGUCGCGUGGGCUGUGUUUGUUUUGUUGUGGUCAUUCGUUUGCAUCAUUUUAGUAUCCGUUAAUAUGUUAGAACGGAAUCCUCGACAUUGAAUGUCGUUACGGUGCAAUAAACCACGUAUUAAUUGGCGAUUUAAUGGCCGUUAAAUCGCUUUAACUAAUUAUCCUCAUAAACGAGAUGUUACCAGAUACAGUUGUCGUAAACGUACAUUUAUUACGUAUUUUAUUCACUCAAACAUGUUUAUGUUGAGACCUUUACGAUCGUUUUAGGAAUAAAGUUCGAUUUAUGUUUGGAAAGUACAAAGUUUUUGUGUAACACGUAUUACUAGAUGCAUUAUAUAUGAAUUUAAAUGGAAUUAUCAUUGCGUAAUUAAUAAAUUAAUAAAAUUGUGACCAUUCAUGCAUCAAAUCGUUGUUAUUGUAGCUCAAAUAUUUUUUUAUAAUUCAUAGCUUAUAUUUCAAUCAUUACAAGUGAUUUCAAUUGUUUUAUGAAACAACUGGCUCUCCUAAAAUUAAGUCUUCCCUUGUUAAUGUACAAUAAUUUUAAAGAUGUGAAAAUAAUUUGUUUAUGAUUCGUAUAAUCGUUGGAAUGUUAAUGUAGAAGACUGAACAAACUUUUUUUCAACUCUAUGCUAAUUUGAGCAUUUGUGAUAAUAUGGUUUCAACCAUAGGUAGUAAUCUAUGGCCUAGAAUGUGUGUAAAUGAAAGACAGUUUGCAUUUAACCUACUUAAAAAUAUAAUCGUUAGUUAAUCGAAUGACCUAUCCAGCAACUGAUGUGAUCGCUGUCCAAAACUGCCGCCAACCGAGGCGAGCGGCAUCAAAACCAAACGUAUCCAGACUAGACGAGAGCGCG